GACGAACGCUGGCGGCGUGCUUAACACAUGCAAGUCGAACGGAAAGGCACUGCUUUUGUGGGGUGCUCGAGUGGCGAUCGGGUGAGUAACACGUGAGUAACCUGACCUUGACUUUGGGAUAACUUCAGGAAACUGGGGCUACUACCGGAUCGGAGCUCCUGCAGCAUGGUGGGGGUUGGAAAGUUUCGGCGGGUGGGGAUGGACUCGCGGAUUUUCGCCUUGUGGGUGGGGGAGUGGUUGACCAAGGCUUUGACGGGUAGCCGGCCGGGGAGGGGGACCGGCCACAUGGGGACUGAGAUACGGCCCAGACUCCUACGGGAGGCAGCAGUGGGGAAUAUGGCACAAUGGUCGGAAGCCUGAUGCAGCAACGCCGCGUGCGGGAUGACGGCCUUCGGGUUGUAAACCGCUUUCGCCUGUGACGAAGCGUGAGUGACGGUAAUGGGUAAAGAAGCACCGGCUAACUACGUG
rnacentral:rRNA from 1 species